UAGGGCACAGUUUAGAAACCCCAGGAGAGAGAGCGAGAACGAGAGAAAAAUUUAACCGCGUGGGGUCUGUGUGUUUUUAUCCCAUGCCACGUGACUCAGCAUUUAUUUUAAACGUGGACCACGCCGCCUGUUGAUUCCAUGUUAUUUCAGUUGACUGUAUGCUGAGUAUCUUUGACCCACCCCUGUCUAUUUAAACCACAACCGUCCAUCCGAACCUAUUAUUUAAUUUAAUAUUAUGUUUACAUAAUUUAAUUAUUUAAUUAAUAAAUAAAAUAUAAAAUUAUUUAACUACAUAAAUAAUAUAAUAUUUUUUUAUUUUAAUUUAACGGAUAAAUAUUUAUAAAAACAACUAUAAUUUUAACUUUUAACUUUUAAAAAUAUAAACAUUUUUUUUAACCUAAAGUAAAAUUUUACUAAAAUACGUAAGCCUAAUUGCACAUAUAGACUGGUAAGCCAUCACUUUCUCUUUUUAUGGGAGGGAUGUGACGGGAGUUUAAUUUUAGUAUAUUCAUUAUUAAAAUUCGUUUCACUUUGAUAAUAAAUUUAAAUAUUCAUUAUUAAAAUGUUUAUGAAUAAAUUUGGAUAUUCGUUCACUUUUUUUUUAAGGUAUUUAUCAGAACGAGCCCAGUAAUUAAUCCUCUACAUUCUACAGACUCAUUAAAGAUGUAAAUGCUAGUCAUAAGUUUUAAAGUUAUUCUAUACUCAAUGCGAGAAUCAAAUCCUCGACUACUGGUUAAGGUAAGAGAGACCAUUGUCAUCUCACCUAACUCCCGUGGUUAAAUAAUCCCCACUUGCACACGACAAGAUUCGAACUUGGAACCCAAAGGAAAGCUAAAGCCUUACCAUUGAACCAGCAAAUUCAUUCACUUUAUUUUUAUUUAUAAUAAAUUUAGGUUUAAAUAUUUUUUUAGACUUAGAGUCUCUUUGGAUGGGCAUUUACCUCUAGUACGGUGCGUUUAGCUUACUUUUUAUCUCACGUUACAAUAUUGUUACAAUAUCUAAUCUCACCGCCACCGUUAGUUUUAAAAUGACUUAAACAAAACUAUUCCUUUUUAAGGGGGCAAGAGUAUUGCCUUCCCCAUUAACACUAUCAUCGGGCAUGUACUUCAUAAAAAAUCAGAAAAAAAAAAUUAAAAAUUUAUCAAUGUCAACAAUGAAGUACAUGUAGAUUGACAUACGAGCUGCCACAUCAAUGCCGUUAACGUUUUUACAAUUCAUUCAAUUUUUUAUCUAACAAAAAGUAAUUCAGCAGAACUUUUAAGGUUAAGUGUCAAAAUGAUAAAAAAAAUAUUUUAAGACCAAAAUCACAAAAGAAAUAACCCAUCACUUUCUUCUAAUAUAGUCCAUAGUGAACUUUCUUGGAAAUAAAAAGAUGAUUUUAUUUUGCAAACCAUAAAAGUCAAAUUCUUAUGGGGCCCUAAAGUAAAAUUUUACCAAAACUCGUAAGCCUAAUUGCACAUAUAGUUUGGUAAGCCAUCACUUUUCUUUUUAUAGUAGGGAUGUGAUGGCUGUUUAAUUUUCGAAUAUUCAUUAUCAAAAUUCGUUUUCACUUUAAUAAUAAAUUUAAAUAUUCGGCCAUUUUACUAAAAUAAUCUAAAAAAUAUUGAUAUUUACAAAAAUAACCCAAGUUCAAAAACAAUCACAAAAAUAACCUGAAAUGAACAGUAAAAUUGGGUUUUGGCCAAUCAAUGGCCGGCACUAACUCGUAUUUUGCACCCAUUAUUGCCAAAUGAUUGUGUCAGGCUUUAAAAAAUUAAUUUUUUUAGUUUUGGCCUGUCAAUGGCCGGAACCAUUGUAUUUUUUUUUUAAAUCGUAUCAUAUUGGUAUACAAAAUACGAGAUAAAAAAAAUUUUGGGUGCUAGCCUGUCAAUGGCCGGCACCCAGUCAACCAAAAAAAAAUUCGAAUUUUUUUCAAAAAAUUUUUUUUUUUGCUCUCUAAAAAUACGAGUUUUAAAAAAAAAAUUUAGGUACUGGCCUGUCAAUGGCCGGCACCCAGUACAACAAAAAAAAAUUGAUUUUUUUUCCAAAAAAAAUUUUUUUUGCUCUCUAAAAAUACGAGUUUUAAAAAAAAAAUUUGGGUGCUGGCCUGUCAAUGGCCGGCACCUAGUACAACCAAAAAAAAAAUUUGAAAUUUUUUCAAAAAAAAUUUUUUUUUGCUCUCUAAAAAUACGAGUUUUAAAAAAAAAAUUUGAGUGCUGGCCUGUAAUGGCCGGCACCCAGUACAACCCAAAAAAAAAUCGAAUUUUUUUUUAAAAAAAAUUUUUUGCUCUCUAAAAAUACGAGUUUUAAAAAAAAUAUUUUUGGGUGCUGGCCUGUCAAUUGCCGGCACCCAGUACAACCAAAAAAAAAUUCGAUUUUUUUUCAAAAUUUUUUUUUGCUCUCUAAAAAUACGAGUUUUAAAAAUAAAAAUUUUUGGGUGCUGGCCUGUCAAUAGCCGGCACCAAACCUUAUAUAUAGUGCAUGGUUUGGUUCUAAUGGUGUAAAUGGAAUUAAAAAAAAAUUGAGAGAGCAAUCAAAAUAAGAGUGUUUUAUAGGAUAUUAUCAAAUUAGUUUUUUGUAGUGGAUUGUAGGUGGGAGUUUUUCGUAGUGUACAACCAAAUUUCGAGGUUGAAUUAUAUACUGUCAUGUUUUAACGAAGUUGAAUUAUAUACUGUCAUGUCCACCCUAAAAGUUAUGCCAUUAAGUGUUGGAUAAUUAUUUGCGCCAUAGAUUGUUAAUCAAGUUGUUCAACGCAGAUGGACAUUAUCUAUGGUGCAAUGGUGUUUAUUCCACAAUUAAGUUGUGCUUUGAACCGGUUGGUAGAGUCUCCAUGCAAAGGUUUAUUUUUAAUUUUACUGACUGUUUCAGAUAUCCAAUUAUCUUAUACUGAUGCAACGUAGACCUGAUACAAGCAGAAGACGAUUAAUUAUGAAUAAACUAAUAUAAAAAAUAAUUUGGUUAUUUCUUAAGAAUGUUUGUAUUUUUUUAUAUCUUUAAAUUAUUUUUUUAUAUCUUUAAAUUUAAUAUAGUUGUUAGGAUUUAAGGUUUAAUUUUUAUAUUUUCAUGUAUUAAUUUCUUAGAAUGUUUUUACUUUUUUGUAUCUGUAAAUUUAAUUUAAUCUGUAAUAUAUAAAUUUUGAAUUUCAAAUUAUCGUGUAUUAAAUUUACCUAUCUGUUUGUAGUCUGUCGAGUGUUUAAAUUUAAUGUAGUGCAUAUUUUUUUGUAUUAAUAUUGUAGAAUGAUUGUAUUUUAUUGUGCAUGUAAAUUAAAAUUGUCGUGUACUAUUACAUAUUCGAAUUUCGUUAUAUAUUUCAAAGUCAUUUAUUUAAACAAAUAAUUACUUUAGAGAUAUAAAAUUAAUAUUAAAAAACAGAAUAAUUUCACUAUAAAAGAAAUAUUUACAGAAUAAUUUUAAAAUAAAGUAAAAAUUAACAAAAAAAAUUUAAAAUUGUUGCGAUCCCGGUGACGUCCCCGAUGCCGGCGUGUAACGGUCGGGAUCCCUCCGUCUGCUAUGUCGUGCACCUCGCUCAGGCGUUUGGUAAUUGCUCGGUCCAGACUCCGGUGUCCCGUCCGGUGUACUUAAAAAAGUAGAAUAAUCAUAUACACCAUAAUCGGGAGUAACUGGGUAUUGCGUGAUCGGAGGUGCUGAUGGAAAAAUAUCCUCGAUGGUGGGUGUACGUGCUUCGGGAUGGAGCUCCGGGAGUUCCGGGUGGUAUGAGGACGAUCCGGAUCGUGUCGAAUGUUGAGGCUCCAUGUCGUCACCAAAAAUUUUCUUGAACAAUGGAGGAAUAUCUCGCAGUGGAUCCGGAUCCAUGGGGUGUGAUGAUGAGCCGGAUGCUUCAUAUUCUGGCUCGAGAUCGGGGUCGAGGUAGUAUCGGACUCGACGUCACCGAAUGGUGGAACUCGAUUACUGCGCGGUUGUGCGUUCCUUGGUUGCCAUCGAGAAGAUUCCAGUUGCGCGUCUUUUUGGAUCAGCAUGUAUUUACCUUGGAAUAUAAACGGUUUUCCGUAUGCCAUAUACCAUGUUGCGUACUCAGGCGUAGGAGAAAACCCUCCCUCUAAGGCAUACAAGAGAGGGCGCCUCGAAUGUCGCAUAUUCUAUAGAAAGAUAUAUGGUUCAUGUUUUUGCGCCCAAUUUAAUGCGUCUCGACCCGAACCCUUUUUGUCCAUUCCAUGAACUUCUUUAAUGUUGACGGGAGGGUUCGGAAUAGGUUGUGCGCAACCAAACUGCCUCAAAACCCGACUUCCAUCGUGCCACUCCACCAUAUGGAAAUUAAUCAACGGCACAUUUGACACGAACAGCUGUUGCUGCUCGGUAACCCAUGAUGGUAUGAGUGCUGCGAUAUGUUCCUCAUUAUAUGGCAUCCAUAUGAACUGAAUAAUAUAAAGAACACGUUAUAUUUAAUUUUUUUUCUUGCGCAAUUAUUGUAUUUAAAAAAGAGAAAUUCGAAUUUGUCUUUUACAGCAUCCCCUGAAUGAGUCUCCAUCAUCAUACGGUACAUAGGUACCGUGAAAGAUCGGCCGAUUCCCGGUACAGUUGCCCAUCUAAAAAAAAAGGAAAAAAAAUAUCGUAUUAUUUCCAAUAUGAAAAAUAUAAGUAUACUAGAGUAUACAAUUAAAAAAUAGAUGGCAAAAUUAAACUAUAUAUUUACCUAUUAACGAGUGGCCAGACAUACGGUUGAUGGCUCACCGAUGCUAGAAAUGGCAUUCGAUAUAAUGCCCAAGACUGCAGUAGAAGGCAGCAACCGCCCAUUGUUUUUGUAGACGGCUUUGUUGCUCGACAAAGUUCGCGGUAUAAGCAUGCCAACACUGUAGAGCCCCAACUAAAUCUGCCGGCAAGCUCGAGAUCUUCUAGUAAGGGGAGAUACAUUAAUGAGACUUUAUUUUGAUUUACGUCCGGCAUCAAUAUCCCACCUAUAAGUUGAAGAAUAAACGCUCUCGCAGCGUAGAUAACAUCCAUCUGCGUUGGAUUUCUCGGAAGAUGUUGGAAGUUUUGUUUUAACCAAUUAAAUUUAAUACGUGUUAAUCGUCCUUCUUCGUCGUUCGGUGGCACCCUUCCAAGUAACCGCUCGCAAGUGCUCCAUGGAUCGGGCACUCUUCCAAGUCCGGUCACUGCUUCGCCGUUUACAGAAAGCCCUAGUUGGACUGCUACGUCUUGCAGUGUAAUGGUAACCUCUUCACACGGGAGGUGGAACGUAUGUGUCUCCGGGCGCCAUCUUUCAACUAAAGCCGAUAUUAAAUCGGCUCGUAGCUCAGAUAUCUGAAUGUAUGCGACCACCCCAAAACCCGCUACAUUCAAAUACGUAUAUAUAUAGAUCUCAUAAAUUUGGUGCCGGCCAUUGACAGGCCAGCACCCAAAAAAAAUUUUUUUUUAACACUCAUAUUUUUAGAGAGCAAAAAAAAAAUUUUGAAAAAAAUUCGAAAUUUUUUUUUUGGGUUGUACUGGGUGCCGGCCAUUGACAGGCCAGCACCCAAAAUUUUUUUUUUUUAAAACUCGUAUUUUUAGAGAGCAAAAAAAAAUUUGAAAAAAAUUCAAAAUUUUUUUUGGGUUGUACUGGGUGCCGGCCAUUGACAGGCUAGCACCCCAAAAUUUUUUUUUUUAAAACUCGUAUUUUUAGAGAGCAAAAAAAUUUUUUUUUGAAAAAAAUUAGAAUUUUUUUUUGUUGUACUGGGUGCCGGCCAUUGACAGGCCAGCACCCAAAAUUUUUUUUUUUAAAACUCGUAUUUUUAGAGACCAAAAAUUUUUUUUUUGAAAAAAAUCAAAAUUUUUUUUGUUGUACUGGGUGUCGGCUAUUGACAGGCCAGCACCCAAAUUUUUUUUUUUUUUAAACUCAUAUUUUUAGAGAGCAAAAUUUUUUUUUAAAACUCGUAUUUUUAGAGAGAAAAAACUUUUUUUUGUUGUACUGGGUGCUGGCCUGUCGGCCAUUGACAGGCCAGCACUCAAAAAAAAAUUCGAAAUUUUUUUUUUGUUGUAUUGGGUGCAGGCCAUUGACAGGCCAGCACCCAAAAAAAUUUUUUUUUUUAAAACUCGUAUUUUUAGAGAGCAAAAAAAUUUUUUUUUUGCUCUAAAAAAUUCAAAUUUUUUUUUGGUUGACUGGGUGCAGGCCAGCACCAAAAAGAAAAAUUUUUUUAUCUCGUAUUUUGUAUACCAAUAUGAUACGAUUUAAAAAAAAUACCAUGGUUCCGGGCAUUAACAGGCCAAAACAAAAAAAAAUUAAUUUUUUAAAGCCUGACACAAUCAUUUGGCAAUCAUGGGUGCAAAAUACGAGUUAGUGCCGGCCAUUGACAGGCCAAAACCCAAUUUUACUGUUCAUUUCAGGUUAUUUUUGUGAUUGUUUUUGAACCUGGGUCAUUUUUGUAGAUAUCAAAAUUUUUUGGAUUACUUUAGUAAAAUGGCCUAAAUAUUCAUUCACUUUGUUUUUUUAUAAUAAAUUCGUGUUUAAAUAAUUAAUUUUUUUAAAUUUACUAAAUACAAUUUUGUAAUAAUCUUAUUAUAAUUUCUAAUUAUAUUUAUUUUUUUGACCAAAUACUUAGAAUUAUCCAUAGCUCAUUUUCAACCCAUAAAUAGGAGGAUAAUGCGAUUCAGCGCAUUUAAACCCACGUCCUCCUAUAUUAACAAUAAUACUCAUAUCAAUCGAGUUAAAACUCAAUUGACUUUUUGUGAUAAACUUUUAAACGUUGAACAUAUAACUUAAUUAAUUCAAAUUUAAAUAAUAAUAUUCCAUUUAUAUUUUAUAGUCAAUUAAGUCCUCAUAUAAGGUUGCUUAAUGUGAUGUCAUGCCAAUGAUGCAAGCAUGCACGUCAACGUUGUAUACUAGAUGAAUCGAGUCCCUUUCUCAUUUAUCUUUUAUAUAAUAAAAAUUAACUAAAAGGAUUUUUUUUUAAUUUUAUUUGUGAAAUUAAAAAUUAAUUGUAAGUAAAAUAUAAUAUUUAUAAUAUAAUAUGAAUUUAACAAAAUAAAAUAUAUUUGUGCUUGCAGUUCGACUUUCAUUUUUAAAUUGAUUAAAAUAAGGGCGAAACCAGAACAAUCUUUUAGAGGCAAAUGAAAUUUUAAAAUUUUAUAGUUUAUAUCUUUAUAAUUUUUAAAAGAUUAAAUCGAAUUUUUAUAAUUUUAGAAGAUAAAAUACUAUUUUAUCUUUAUUAAUUUAAAUUUUUUAAAAAAUUUAAGGGCUUAAAUAAUAAAUUUACAUUUUAGGGUGAGCAGAAGCUCAUGCUAGCCCCCACUAGAUUCGCCACUGGAAUAAAAUAUUUCAUAAUUCUAUUAAUUAUCACUUAUUAUUAAAACUUUUGUUGCAAUUAUAGACAAAUACUAUUUUGGGCUUCAAUAAUAAAACAAAUUAUCCUCUCUAAAGCCUAGGGGUUUCUAAAUGGGCCGAGGAUAGCCCAUUAUAUAUCUCCAACUCCAAAGAAAGCAAAAAUGCAAAAAAUUUGAUUCAAACUUGAAUUCCAUUUUAUUAAUAAAUAUUUUAUUUAAAUUUAAUUUAAAAUAAUUUUGAGUUAGUUCAUCAUACAUUCUCAAAUUACAAUCUUUAUUUUAAAUUAAUCCCUAAAUUUUAAGACGUUUUAAUUACAUCUCUAAACUAUCAAUACUAUAUCAAUAAGGUUUAUUCAUUCUUGAAACUGUUAAUUUAACAAUCAAAUUACAUGUAAAAUGGCAUAAUUUAAAAUUAGAAUUUAAAGAAAAUUUAAAUGUUGAGACAUGAAUUUUAAAAUUAAAAACUGAAAAAAAAAGAGUGGUUCAUAAAAACUCUACAAACCUCAAACCUAAAAUUUUUAUAUCUAUUUUUCUUAAACAUUAUUGAUAUAACAACGAUAAUUUAAAGAUAUAACUACAAUAUUUACAUUUAUCUCACUUUAUAGUUUAUUAUAUAUUUUUUACAUAUUUAAUUUUUCACUAUACCUUAAAGUUAACUUCUCGAUUUUGCUUGUAAAAUAUAUAAAAUAAAAUAGUGUCAUUAUUUUAACCUACUUAAGCUUUUUUGGAUGAUUAACUUUAUCUUGUUUUAAAUACAGUCAUUUUGUUUUUUUUUUUGUUUUUUAUUAUAAAAAUUUAUACUAUUUUUAGUUUAGUAUUUAAUAAUUUAGUAUUUUUUAUUAAAAAUUUAAAUUAAUUUUUAAUUUUUACGUUACAUUAUUAUAAAUUUAUUUUCAUAUGAUUUAAAUGACAUAAUAUAUAAAUAUAAAGUAAUCAAUAUAUCACAUAAUAGGUCUAACUUUUUUUCUCUCAAUUCCAUUUUUUGCCUAAUAUUUUUAUGGCAUAAUGACUUAUUUAGUUAUGUUAGCCCUCUCUUUAAUUUUUAUUUUUUUUAACCCUUAAACUUACGUUUUUAUUAAAUCACUCUAAAAUAGAUUAGAAAAGUUAAAGUUUGUUGACUUACCAUGUGUAUAUCACAUCAACAUUUAAUUAAUUUUUAAAAUUUUAAAAAAUUAAUUAAAUAUUGACAUGUCAUCUCCGUGACAUUCCACGUAUAUGCCACGUUAGCAAUGUUAACAAACAAACUUUUUCAUCCAUUUCGAGAUGAUUUGAUAAAAAAAAAUACAAAUUCAAGAGAUAAAAAAGACAAAAAUAAAUUAAAUGAAUAACUAAAAUAAUUUUUCUCGUAAAAUGGAAAACCAAAAAAAUUGCCUAUAAAAAGAAUUCAAUUUUUUAUCAAAUAACACAAUCUUUUAACAGGAAAUUUUUUAUUUCAAAACUAAUCAUGUAAAAAAAAAAGUUGAUUGGAGCAAAUAAAGUGAAACAUUUAAGACAAGAACGAAGUGGAGAUUUUAUAACACAAAAAUAGAGGACACAAAUCCACUUAAAACAGAAAAGGAAAACAACAUUCUAUUAAGACACAAAGGGGGGAUUUCCUUUGUUUGUGUCCAAUAUAGAUUUUUUUUUCUUCCCUUGGAGCUUAAUUUCCCAUUUAGAAAGCUCCUCUCUUGAUAGCAUCGUCAUUAGCAUUUCCAAGGGCAGCUUCACUCAAAUAUUUGUCAGCCAAUUGAACCCUCUUCACGUUCUCUUGUUCAGCAACAAGCAUGUUUCCAUACUCCAACAGCUUCUCAAUGGUCAUCGUAGGUUGCUCGAAAGAUGGUGGCCCUUCCCUCGAGUUCACGAGCUUUUUCCCGACACUAUUGACUCCUACCUCUCCGAUCCAUUUCCUCACUUCGUCAUCGUAAACCCUGGCCCUUAGAGCACCGAAAAAGUCUACAAAUUGAACCAACACACAUGCAAAUACACCGUUAAUGAUAAUUCCUAUGGGAUCUAAUUAUGGUUAAUUUAAUCUGAAUAAAUUCGAUACUUCUACUUUUAUAAUGUUAUCAGAAUGUCUAAAUUGAUAACAUUAUUAGCUGUUAAAUAAUUGAUGACUAAAUAGACUUAAAAUUUGGCUGAAAUGUAAAUUUAUUGUAGAUUGAAUAUGAUGCUAUCAAUUUAGACCUAUUAAUAGGAUUGUAAUCGAGCUCAGCUGAGCUCAUAUACUGAGAAGUUCAAGCUCAAAUUUAAUUUAGAACUCACUGCUCGAAACUUAGGUCAAGCUCAAUCAAUUAUUACUAUAUAAGCUUGAGGUCAAUUAAGCUCAUUCACACACAAUUGUAUAGUCAAACUCGAGUUUAAGCUUGGCCUCGUGCUAUAUACCGAUUUGUUUAGAUGAACUAUUAAUUUAUUAUCAAAUUAUUAAAAUAAAUUAAUAAAAUAUACAAAUUAGGCUCACAAGUUGUUCCAAUCAAGUACUAAAAUACUUGAAUUCUGACUUACUCAAUAGCUUGAGUUGCUUGAGAAUGAUUGAAUCAGAUUCGAAUUUUUAAAUCAAACUUGAAUAUUGUAAGCACACCAGAUUAGAAGUAUUAACUUUUGAAUUUUAGCAUUGUGGAGGGACUAAAACAAAAAUUAGACCUUUGUAUAGAGACCAUGAAUUGAAAAAGUGUUGAACGAGAAGCUUACCAAUGGAUUGGCCCGGGAAGGUGUCAACAAGCUUAACAAUGUCAUCAACGGGAACAUUGUCGGUCCUGAAAAUACCUGUGCAAACACCGAUCCUAUCUUCCCUGGUGGGUGCCCAGUAAAACUUCUCCAUACGACCGUCACGGAUGAGCGGCGCGUACAGCGUCGAGAAAUCGUUACCGGUGACAAUGAUCGGAACACGAGGGUUCUCUUCCUUGUUGUACAUACCGGGGAGCUGAACGUUGGUGGGGUUAUCAGCGAUGUUCAUGAGUGUGGCGUUCACCAUUUGGUUGUUCACUGUGUAUUGUGUGGUUCCUCCCAUACGACCGGCUCCAGCGUCGAGAUCGUUGAUAAAGAGGCAACACAUUUUCCCUUUCUUGAUAAUGUCGGCGGCCUCACGGUACCUUUGCCUGAUCAACUUGGCUGGUUCUCCGGCGUUCCCACUUUCCAAUUCUCCGGCACUCAUCAUAAUGGGGCUGUAAUGUUAAUUCAUUAUAGCAAUUCAUUAGCAUGUUUCUAUUUGCACAAUAGACCCUAAAUAUUUACAUAUUUCAUUAAUUUUGACUCUACUUUUAAAAAACCAACCAAAUUAAUCCUCAAUUUUAUACAUUUUUAUCUAUUUUAAUCAUUAAAGUUAUUGACAUUUAGUGUUAUAAUCACCUCUGUUAAGGCAAAUUUUUGUUUAGCUCAUCUAUAGAUUGUAAAAUUUUAAGUUAACACAAAAGAAUAAUUGCAUUUUGCUUCUAAAAAAAUUAUAAUUAAAUUCUAAACCCUCUAAAAAUAGAAAAGUUAUAAUUUUAACCCUCUAAAACUAGUAAAAUUUUAAGUUAAUACAAUAAUAAAAUUGCUAUCUUAAUAUCUCUAGAAAUUUAUAGUUUAAUUAUAGCACACAAAAUUUUUUGACUUCAUCGGUGGCCAUGUAAUCAAGACCUUGAAUUUGCAUCUAAAAAAACAUGAACUCACUUGAUUCCCAUCUUGGCAAAGACAAGCUCACAUUGGAAAGAUUUUCCUUGACCUUUGCCUCCCCAAAUACCCAAGAUAAGAGGAACCUGUAAGAGAAACAAUUGUAGUAAAAUUUGGUAAAUUUAAUUCUAUUUUAUUUAAAAAAAAAAAAAGAGAUUUCACUAUAUAUGUUAUAGGUGACACACAUACCUUAAUGUUAGGAAGGGUCAUGUAGUUCUUGGUGAUGUGAACAACAAGCUUGUCCAUGAAAGCUGGGGCAAUGUAGAAUCCAUCCAUGUUGUUGUCCAAGUCGUAUCUAUAUCAUCCAAACCAUUUUUAAUUUAGGGUUGAACAAAAAAAUCGAAAUGCGUAUAUAUGAUGUAUAUGUAUAUGUACUUACGUGCGAAGGCCUUGGCUAAUGUACUCAUAGGAGCUCAUGACAGCAUAGUGAGUACCAUCGUUCAUGGGAGCUUGGAACAAUGAGUCGACCAUACCUUUCCCUCUGGUAAUGUCUUGUUGGUCAUCGGAGAUAUCAUAAGCAAGACCCUUCCAUCGGUCCUGGUCGGUCUGUGUGUCUUCGUCGAUUUCUUUGGCAGCCACAAUCUUGAAACUUCCCACUGGAGCCUUGCCGUUGUUGUUGAACCUAAGCUGUUCCCCAUGAAAGCUGAGCUUGGAGCAGAAGCUCCGGCACCUGAUCCAUUCAAACUCAACUGCAAAAAACACAAACAAUGAUAUCCUCAGAACAUGUUUGGUUAGGGACACACAUGUAAUAAAAGAACCGAGGGUAUGGGGUACCGGUGCUCGGUUGACAGCACCGAUGGUGGAGACGGCAGCCGCCAUUGGAGACUGGAGAGUGAAGUUCGUGAAAUGUUAUGAAAGUAUUGGGAGUGAUUGGACUUUGAUGAGCCUUACUGAGCUAUGGGGCAAAACUUAUAAGGAUUAUAUAUUGUGUGGGUGACAAAUAUUAAGGAUUUUUUUUUAAUUUUAAUAUUUUUUCAUUUGGCGAUGGCCACACAUAUUACAAUCAAUGGAUCAACGUGGCAGGUGAUGAUUGCUGCAUUUUGUAUAAUCUUUAGAUCUUGGUCAAAUUCCAUAGAAGGUCCAUGUAUUAUGCAUUUUUGACACAUUUAGUCCCCCCUAUUAUAUUUUGAUCCAAUAUAAUCUUUUUAUGUAAUUUGACAACUUUUGUGAAUGCUAAGGUGUUUAGUUGCAAUAGGAAUUGGGUGUUUUUAUGGGAUUCCAAUGCAACUUUUUUAGUAAUAUAUAAUUAGAGGGUUAGUAUUCACGCACUCACUUACUCCUCGAAAGUUCGAACUCAGGUGAAUUCUAUAAAUAAAUAACUUUUAAUCAUCAGGUCAAUCACGAGAAUUUAAAUGUAGUUAAUUUUGGUUCUUAUAAGAGUUUUAAUGUAAAUUGUCGAUAGGUGUUGUUGCAAUGCUUUUGAUGUUCAUAUUGUACAAUUACUUUUACCCUUAUGGGUGAAAAAAUGUGCAUUUAUAAUCCUAAGAUUUAAUUUUUUUUUACAUUUUUUGUCCUUUAAAUGCUUUCUUUUUUUUUUUUAAGUUCUAACUAUACAUAAAUCCCCAUAUGUAUAUAUCACAAUUUUUUGAUAUAAUUAAAUGUGUUCUCGUCCAUUUUACAGUCUAAAACUAAUCCUAUUCAGGACAGGUGAAGACGUCAAAAUUUAAAUUCAAUCCAAAUGUUCUAGGAAGAACUUCACUAACACUCCUUCCAAUCAUCCAAUCACUUGUUGGUGUAUACAUCUUGCAAAAACAAAAAAAUUAAUAAAAAUUAUUAGUCUCUCAACAUUUUGAAAAGCAAAAAGAUUAAAAAUGUUCAAACUAUAAUAAGACUAAAUUUACUAAAAACACAUAGUAUAGGGACCUUAUCUAAAAUUUAACCAAAUCAAAUAUGUGAGUCUGUUUUUCUUUCACUCAUUUGUUGAAGGCCACACAACUCACAAUCAAAGAUUACAUCAUGGAUCCACGUGGCAGGUGAUAAUUGCUACAUUUUGCAAGAGUCUAUCAUUUUUCAUUUCAUCUGAUAGAGGUUACCAGUUAAGGUGGUUUCUUUGCCACUAAAAUCUGUUCCAUUUAUUACCACACAAAGAUUUUCUUGUUUGGGGGACUUUGUUGGUAAUAUUUUUAUUUGGGAAAAGAGAUAAUGAAAGAUAAGGUGAAUAAACUGUUUGUGAUUCUAAUUAAUUUCAUUAUUUUUGCUCAAAUUUUGUGAUAUGGGAAAAUAUAUAUUAGAGGUUGGUAUCUUAUUGGUAUGGGUCAUUGGGGUCCCAUUUUAUAAAGGAAUUUAGAUUGUGAAAGAGCUACAAACUUACAAAACAUAGAAAGAAACUAAGGAAUUUAGUGGAUAAAUUUAUAAGAAAAUUAAUGGGAAUUUCUAAUUUUUUGCACUUCAAAACAUUUUCUCUUUAAAUAUGCAAGUUGAUAGGUCAAUGAGAAAUAAUAUUUUCGAUGUUCGUAGUUAUUAUUCUCAACAAUGUCAUAUUCAAUGUUUGAAUUUAAGUUUUCUUUUCAAAAAUACAAUGUGUCUUACUACUAUACCCAACACGUGUUCGUGAUAAUCAUUCUUGAUUUACAACUCUUUUAUACAUUACCAAUAAAAAUUUUAACUCCCCAAGUAGGAUUUAGAUAGUGACAAUGAACCCUUAAUUUAGUUGGUAAAGACUGAGGUUCUGAGUUUUGAGUAUCUAAAUUUGAGACUCAUCAUGCUCAAUUCAAAUGUAUGGAUCUCCAAUUAGUUCGUAAUCUUUUAAUAUGCAAUACAUGGAAUUUGACAGGUUAAUAGUUUUAUAGCCAAUGAAUGAAUAAUCUUUUCAAUGUUCGUAGUUGUUAUUCUCAACGAUGUCAUCUUCAAAGUUUGAAUUUGAUUUUUCUUAUCAGAAAUGCAAAGUGUCUUACCACUACACCCAACACUUGUUGAUGAUUAAUCAUUCUUGAUUUACAGCUCUUCACACAUUAUUGUUUUCAUGCUAUUUUAUUUAAAAAAUAUUUUAUACAUUUUCAGCGAAAAUUUUAACUCCACAAGUAGGAUUUAGGUAGUGACAAUACUCUUUAGGGUAUAAUAAAAAAAAUACAAAUCAAACAAUGUUUGAACUUUUCUUGUGUAGUUAAAAUUUUCUUAAUAGUUAAUAAGGCCUUAAUAUAGUUGGUAAAAGCGGAGGCUCUAGGUUUUGAGUAUCCAAAUUCGAAACCCAUCAUGUGCACUUAAAAUGUAUGAAUCUGCAAAUCUCAUCAUAAGCUAUUACCAUAUGUAGGUUUUAGUUUGAUUAGUUAGUUCGUAAUAUGGAUGGUUCCAUUUCAUAGUUUGUGUCGUAAUAGUUUGAUUUUUUUUUUGUUCCAGUUCUUAAUUUAUUUGUGCUACAAUAAUUUACUUUCAUACCAAGUAAUUACACAGGCAUACAUUUGUAUUGUAUUAUAUUUGUAAACACAAUAUAUUAAGUACUAUUUUUAUAUAUUGUAUUAAUCAUGUGUGUGUGGUCAAUAAUUUUAAUUCAAAUUAUUGAAGAAAAAAAGGAGAAAAGAAAUUAAUUGGCAUGGUAUUGUCUCAAAUUUUGAAUUAAUGCAAGCCUCAAAUAAAAAACAAGAAGAUUUUUUUUUUUGCGUAUAUGAAUUUUAUUUUUGAAAUUAUCCAAAUAGGAAGAGACAAAUGCAAAGGUGGAUGGGAAAAUUUGUGGCAAUAAGACCAUGAAGCCCAAAUUUUGACAUAGCAUAAAAUUUGGAGUCUUGGGCAUGUCAUUGUUAGCCCAGCAACGUGGCUUGAUUUAGGACCACACAAAAAAUUAACCAUUUUCAUGGGAGAAAUGGGUUAUUGAAAAGAGGGAAAAUUUUGAAAUUAAAAUUAUUUUUUUCCCAUUUUUUUAAAAAAAAUAUUUAGAAUUGGAGAUAAUGUAAUUGGAUUGUAUGGCCAAAAAAUUCGGAAAAUGUUAUAGAAAGAAGCUUAUAAUAUGAUCAUGAUAGAUGUUUGAUUUUAAAUUUAUUAAAUGUCCAGAAAUCUUAAUCAGAGAGAAAAUGGAUUAUUUAGAUGUGGAAAAAAAUAGAGAAUAUGAGAUUACAGAUAUGAAAACUACCACUUUCCCUUUUGGGUAAGUUGUUAUUAACUUAAAAAAAAAUUAGAGCGUGUUCAGAAAAUAAUUCAAUAAUUGGAUUUGGAUGUAAUUACUUAUAAUUACAUAUAUGAUGUGUUUAGAAAACAUUUAGAUGUUACUGAGUUGAGUGUAAUUGUAGCGUACAUAUUAUGUGCUCCAAUUCUAAUUAGUAUGAGUGAUAUUAGAGAAAUAGUUUGAAUAAUUAACCUAGUUUUUCGUUUAAUUUUAGCCUAUCACUUAAUCUAUUGUUUAUAAUUUGAAUUUAUUUUUAUUGUUAUUUGAAUAAUUAUUGUUAUCAUAUUCAAUUUUUAUCAAUGAAUAAAAGUAUGCUUUCUUCUCUAUCUUUACCAAAAUUUUAUAUGGUAUACAGAGCUAAAUGUCUCUGAAUGAGAAGAAGAUUCUCCAUUUUUCCCCACCCAAUGAAACUUUCUACUAAUGACUACUAACACCUCAACCUCAUGGUAGCUUCAACUUUUCAAAUUGGAAAGCACAAUUUACCAUGUUGCUAGUUGGGUAUGAUCUCCAAGGCUAUCUUGAUGGUACAAAAUCUACUCAGACAAUACAUGAUAAAGGGAAUAACACCACCUAAACAAAUCUUACUUAUUGCAUUUGGUUUUGCCAAUGGACUCAUCCCACAAGGCAUGAUUGCUUCUGUUGAUAGCUUAAUUGCCUCUAUUAUUGUUGUUACUCAUACUUUACAAAAAGCAUGGGCCCUUUUGCAUUCCCUCUAUGCAAACAGAAGCCAUACAUGAGUCUAUAGCCUUCGUGACCAACUAACUAGCGUCACAAAGCAAACCAAGAGUGUUGUAAAGUAUCUACAACAACAAAUCAAGACCAUCAUAGACAUUUUAACUAUUAUCAGUUCUUUGAUUACUUCUGAUGAGCUUAUAAUCAAGAUCCUCUAUUGUCUUCAUCUAGAAUAUUGAAAAGUUUCUACCUCUAUUCAAACUUACCUAACACCAAUCAAAUAUGAAGAACUAUUUUAGAAACUUAUUGAUUAUCAACUCUUUCUCUAACAUGAGGAGAAACAAAUGUCUUCUUCUAUCGUUGUUGCAAUUGCACAACACAACACCAAUUCUUCUCAGUUUUAUUGAAAUACUCAUAAUAAUUUACCUCAAUUUUCUUGGUCACAAAUUUUUACUCUCAACAACAAGCUCUUUGACGUAUACAGGUUUCUUAUAAUGCUCAAACACAUGUUCAAUGCCAACUUUGUGAUAAAUAUGGUCAAACUACAUGUGUUUGUCGCUCCAAGUCUCAUAACCAUUAGGAUGCAAGGCCAAUUUUGCAUCUUAAGCUGCAAGUUUCAUAAACAUUGGUGAUUUUCACCAUCUUUUUGUCAAUCCAUAUUCUUUUCACAAUGUUGAUUAUCGAUGCAAUAAAAUGGUUUCCAUGGCGAAUGGUAAUAUAAUUCCCAUAAACCACCCUGGUACUGUUAUAUACAAGCACUAAGUUCUCCCUUUAAAAGAGUCAAUACACUAUGUGCUCCCACAAUUAAACAAAAUCUUCUUUUUAUUUCCCAAUUUUGUAAGGGUAAUUAACAUCUAUUUAAAUCUCCUCGUUUCAUUUUAUGGUGAAAGAUCUCAGGAACACAAUUGAUGUUCAGUCAGAGUAACAAUGGAAUCUAUAUGAGGCCUAAACCUACCUCAUUCAUACUUAGUUGCUAACAAGAACUCCUCCUUUUGGCAUUGAAUAUUAGGUCGCCCCGGUUCUCGCAUUUUACCUUUUUAGUAGAACUUUACUUUUUGUUCUAAAUAAAAAUUCCUUGUCAUUAUCUAAAUAAAAAACUUUCUUUUUGUAACACCCUCACCCGGCCCGAUCACUGAAUCUGGGUGCAUGUGUCACUCCUAAAUCGGGUUAUUUUACAUACUCUUACUUCAUUAAAUUAAAAGAAACAAUCAAACUAAAUUUCCUAUUUAUUGAAAUAUUGUACAACCGAGUUUAAAAAAUUAAAAGUCUAUUCUUUUAACUCUGGAAACAUAAAGAAUCUAAUUGGAUAAAAUGUGUUCGCCACCUUGGCGAAGUCCCUAGUGGUGACCUCUAUCCUCUGUGCAUGACACUAUACUAAGGUAAUACUUGAUUUAUUCAGUCUUGCUUAGUUCCUCCUCGAGUUUCUUAUUCCGUAAAUCAUGCAAUCAUAGAUCAAACUGUUUGUAAGUUUGAAUGAAUUUAGUGCAUUUUUACAUUACAUAAUACAUACCCCACCUUGUUGAGGAUUCAGAUAAAUAAUAUUAAUAAUAAUAAAAAUGAUAACUCCUUGCUUGCUAGGAACAUUUCUCCUAAGUUGUUGUAGUGGAUAUUUUUCCAUUUUCCGAUCCUAUUCACUGGCGGACAGAUUGUUGAGCAAUUUCCUUUCGGUCAUUCUAUUGACCUUCAACCAGCCUUGGCAACUGCUCAAAUUGUAUUGCCAUCUCUGCGAACUCUUCUCAUUUCUCUUAUUAUACCCAAGUAGUUCUCAUCCUCUCACCGUCAUGCUUCAUCAAUACCUCCUUCUAACUUAUCCUCUUAAAGGCUCUGGGUGAGUAUCCCUAAUCUAUUUAGUUUGUAGCGAACUUUUUUCCUUAUCUUAAUUCUAUGUGACUUGCUCAUUAUCCAUCCAUUGGUAUGACUAACAAGGCCUCACGCUAUACUUGUGGACCAAAACCUCUCUUGGUUUGUGUUGCGGAAAGGAUCGAUUCGAGAACUCCGAUAUGACUACAAGUAAAUUGACCGAAACGAAAAAAUAAAGUGAACACAAGGAUUUACGUGGUUCGGCUUUAAUGCCUACGUCCACGGGCAGAGGCGAAAAGAAAUUUCACUAUAACAAGAUGAAGAUUACAAGUGUUUUACACUCAAGACACAACCCGAGAACCUCACAACUCUCAACCCCUAUAGAAAACCCGAAAGCUAAAAUCCUAGCUUUCAAAGAACAAGCUUUGCUCUCUCUUGGUUUGGGAUGAUCAAUAUGGCUAAUGAACCUCUCUAUUUAUAAGAGAGUUCAAGGACAUAAUUGUCCAAAACUUUGGCAAAGAUUUGUGGUUGAAAAUGGACACCAACAACCAUCCACUAAUCCACUACCACCAACAACCCACUACCAACAACAACAAUCCACUACCAAUUUUAAGCCAUUUCUUAACAAAUCUCCACCUUGGCUUGAAAUUUACCAAGCUGAACAUCAUAGUGAACUGGAUCACCUCUUCCAAACGCCUCUCUGGCGCUAAUCAAUCCCGAAUACCUAUCAAGUCCAAGCAAUGCUUGAACUUAUAUGCAGGGAUCACCUUAGUUAACAUAUCUGCAGGAUUCUUCUCGGUAGCAACCUUGCUGAUAACAAUGUCACCUUGCGUAACAUGUUCCCGAACAAAAUGAUAUCUGACAUCAAUGUGUUUGGUCCGUUCAUGAAACAUCUGAUUUUUAGUCAGAUGUAUGGCACUCUGGCUAUCGCAAAAUACAACAGUGAAAUCCUGUUGUAAUCCCAAACUGCUUACUAGACCUUUCAUCCACAAUGCUUCUUUCACUGCUUCUGCUAACGCCAUAUAUUCCGCCUCAGUCGUAGAUAAGGCUACGGUAGACUGUAACACAGCUUUCCAACUAAUGGCUCCUCCAGAAUAAGUGAAAACAUAACCCGUCAGAGAUCUUCUU
rnacentral:lncRNA from 1 species